GAUCUGGCUCAGGAUGAACGCUGGCGGCAUGCCUAAGACAUGCAAGUCGAACGAGAUGGCCCAGUGAAGGUUGAGUGCUUGCACAAGACUGAAUCUGGAUUCCCAUCUAGUGGCAGACGGGGUGAGUAACACGUGGGUGACCUACCUUUUCGUUGGGGAUAACAGUUGGAAACGAUUGCUAAUACCGAAUAAAAUGUAAGAGUCAAUUUUACAUUGAAAGGAGCCUUUAAAGCUUCGCGA
rnacentral:rRNA from 1 species